CGAUAUUGGAGGCAUUGCCUGCCCAGUGACAACUGUUUAACGGCCGCGGUAUCCUGACCGUGCAAAGGUAGCAUAAUCAUUUGUUCUCUAAAUAAGGACUUGUAUGAAUGGCCGCACGAGGGUUUUACUGUCUCUUACUUCCAAUCAGUGAAAUUGACCUUCCCGUGAAGAGGCGGGAAUGCACAAAUAAGACGAGAAGACCCUAUGGAGCUUUAACUAACCAACCCAAAGAGAAUAGAUUUAACCAUUAAGGAAUAACAACAAUCUCCAUGAGUUGGUAGUUUCGGUUGGGGUGACCUCGGAGAAUAAAAAAUCCUCCGAGCGAUUUUAAAGACUAGACCCACAAGUCAAAUCACUCUAUCGCUCAUUGAUCCAAAAACUUGAUCAACGGAACAAGUUACCCUAGGGAUAACAGCGCAAUCCUAUUCAAGAGUCCAUAUCGACAAUAGGGUUUACGACCUCGAUGUUGGAUCAGGACAUCCUGAUGGUGCAACCGCUAUCAAAGGUUCGUUUGUUCAACGAUUAAAGUCCUACGUGAUCUGAGUUCAGACCGGA
rnacentral:rRNA from 1 species